UACGUAGGGGGCAAGCGUUGUCCGGAAUUAUUGGGCGUAAAGAGCGUGUAGGCGGCCAGAUAAGUCCGCUGUGAAAUCUCGAGGCUCAACUUCGAGCUGUCGGUGGAAACUGUCUGGCUAGAGUCCGGAAGAGGAGAAUGGAAUUCCUGGUGUAGCGGUGAAAUGCGCAGAUAUCAGGAAGAACACCCGUGGCGAAGGCGGUUCUCUGGGCAUGUCCUGACGCUGAGGAGCGAAAGUGUGGGGAGCGAACAGG
rnacentral:rRNA from 1 species